rnacentral:rRNA from 1 species
UACGAAGGGGGCUAGCGUUGCUCGGAAUCACUGGGCGUAAAGCGCACGUAGGCGGCUUUCUAAGUCAGAGGUGAAAUCCCGGAGCUCAACUCCGGAACUGCCUUUGAUACUGGAGAGCUUGAGUUCGGGAGAGGUGAGUGGAACUGCGAGUGUAGAGGUGAAAUUCGUAGAUAUUCGCAAGAACACCAGUGGCGAAGGCGGCUCACUGGCCCGAUACUGACGCUGAGGUGCGCAAGCGUGGGGAGCAAACAGG